rnacentral:rRNA from 1 species
CAAAAGAUAAGUUUAUAUUGGAACAGUAUAAAAGUGGCUAAUUUUAUUUAAAGGUUCAAUUGUUCCAGUGUAAAGAUUAAAUUUUUUAAUAUUUUCUAAACAUCAGGCAAAACCUAUUACAAUGAAUACACCUAGAUUAGAAGAGAAACGGGGAUUAGAUACCCCAUUAUCCUAAUUGUAAAACAUAAUACUAGAGUAGUACGAACAACCGUUUUAAACUCAAAGAACUUGGCGGUGACUUAGACAAUUCAGGGGAGCUUGUCCUAUAAUCGACAGUCCACGUAAUAUACUUUCCUUAUUUAGAAAUUCAGCUUGUAUAUCGUCGUUGACAGUUGACUUUUAUAAAAUAUCUUAGUUAACGGUAAAUCUUUUUGAGAUUAAACUUCAGAUCAAGAUGCAGCUAAUAAUAAGGCAAGGAUGAGCUACAAUUAAUAUUUAUAAACACGGAUCAUUAGUUGAAACACUUUUGUAAAGGAGGACUUGAAAGUAAAAAUAUAGCAGAAAAAUCAAUUGAACUUAGCUCUGAGGCGUGCACAAAU